GGUGGUUUGUUAAGUUGAAUGUGAAAUCCCCGGGCUCAACCUGGGAACUGCAUUCAAAACUGGCAAGCUAGAGUAUGGUAGAGGGUGGUGGAAUUUCCUGUGUAGCGGUGAAAUGCGUAGAUAUAGGGAAGGAACAGCCGUGGCGAAGGCG
rnacentral:rRNA from 1 species